rnacentral:rRNA from 1 species
CGAGCGAACAGACGAGGAGCUUGCUUCUCUGACGUUAGCGGCGGACGGGUGAGUAACACGUGGAUAACCUACCUAUAAGACUGGGAUAACUUCGGGAAACCGGAGCUAAUACCGGAUAAUAUAUUGAACCGCAUGGUUCAAUAGUGAAAGACGGUUUUGCUGUCACUUAUAGAUGGAUCCGCGCCGCAUUAGCUAGUUGGUAAGGUAACGGCUUACCAAGGCAACGAUGCGUAGCCGACCUGAGAGGGUGAUCGGCCACACUGGAACUGAGACACGGUCCAGACUCCUACGGGAGGCAGCAGUAGGGAAUCUUCCGCAAUGGGCGAAAGCCUGACGGAGCAACGCCGCGUGAGUGAUGAAGGUCUUCGGAUCGUAAAACUCUGUUAUUAGGGAAGAACAAAUGUGUAAGUAACUAUGCACGUCUUGACGGUACCUAAUCAGAAAGCCACGGCUAACUACGUGCCAGCAGCCGCGGUAAUACGUAGGUGGCAAGCGUUAUCCGGAAUUAUUGGGCGUAAAGCGCGCGUAGGCGGUUUUUUAAGUCUGAUGUGAAAGCCCACGGCUCAACCGUGGAGGGUCAUUGGAAACUGGAAAACUUGAGUGCAGAAGAGGAAAGUGGAAUUCCAUGUGUAGUGGUGAAAUGCGCAGAGAUAUGGAGGAACACCAGUGGCGAAGGCGACUUUCUGGUCUGUA